rnacentral:lncRNA from 1 species
UCAAGGUUGGAACCGUUUAUUGCGCCCCAGGAAGGCGGCGGGCGGACCAAGGCGCCGCGCAACCCAAGCGCGGGGUGGCCAUCGGCGGGCACGGUAGGCAGGCGCCGCCAGGCCAUUGGCGCCGCCGGGCCGGUAACCAUGACGACGGCCGUUGCCAAGGGUGAGAGCCAAUGGAGGCGUCGCCAGGGCCGUUUCAAAAACCUAAAGCAAACAGAACGCAGCAUCGCUGGGGGAGGGGCGGGGAGGGGACAGGGAUCAGGGACCUGGGCCAGGCGGAACCCUACGGAACCGGUACACCAGGGGGAGGGCAGAUAGACGACGGAAAACUCCAAAAUGUCGCCAGACUGUAGGGGCGUCACUUGCGGCCCUUGGGCACCUUGGGCACGCUGGGUUUGGCCGCCUUCUUCACCUUCUUCGUGCUGGCAGCAGCUGCCGCCGCCUUCUUGCUCUUUUGCGCGCGCCGCUCGGGCUGCGGCCUGGCUGGCGUUCUGUCCGCCGCCGCCGCCGCCGCCGUGCGCGCCUUGGGCGCGGGGCUACUGGCCGCCGAAGCUCCGCGCUUCUCCGCGCUGCCCUCCAGCUUCUUGCGGUUCAGCUUGAAGGAUCCGUUGGCGCCGGUGCCCUUCACCUGCAGCAGCGUGUCGUUCUGCACCAGCGCCCGGAUAGAGUACUUGAGGUAGGUGCGCCCGUUCUGCUGGUCGAACCAUGCCACCUUCCUGGCCUCGGCGUAGAUGCGCGCCAGAGACGAGCCACCGCGCUCACCCAGCUUACGGAUCGUCUCCACCACCAGCUGGCUGUACUUGCCUGGCUGGUUCUUUUUGCGGUUCUUCCUUCUCUUGGGCUGCGUGGGCGCCGCAGAGCCGCUGGCCUUGGCCGUCUUGCGGGCCGUCCCGUCGGCGCUCGUCGGCGGCAGGGCCUCCUCAAGCUCCACCGACAUGGUGGCCAGUGGGUUGGUAGCAGGCGGCGCGCGGUAGCCGGGAGGCCGCGCCGGGAAGAGGAAGGCGAGGGGCCGCGGCGGCACCGCCGGUGGACUGGGGGCGCGCGGCGGCUCCAGGCGGGAGCGGCCGC